rnacentral:rRNA from 1 species
AGAGUUUGAUCAUGGCUCAGGACGAACGCUGGCGGCGUGCUUAACACAUGCAAGUCGAACGGAAAGGCCCUUCGGGGUACUCGAGUGGCGAACGGGUGAGUAACACGUGGGUGAUCUGCCCUGCACUUUGGGAUAAGCCUGGGAAACUGGGUCUAAUACCGAAUAUGACCAUGCGCCUCCUGGUGUGUGGUGGAAAGCUUUUGCGGUGUGGGAUGGGCCCGCGGCCUAUCAGCUUGUUGGUGGGGUAAUGGCCUACCAAGGCGACGACGGGUAGCCGGCCAGAGAGGGUGACCGGCCACACUGGGACUGAGAUACGGCCCAGACUCCUACGGGAGGCAGCAGUGGGGAAUAUUGCACAAUGGGCGCAAGCCUGAUGCAGCGACGCCGCGUGAGGGAUGACGGCCUUCGGGUUGUAAACCUCUUUCAGCACAGACGAAGCGCAAGUGACGGUAUGUGCAGAAGAAGGACCGGCCAACUACGUGCCAGCAGCCGCGGUAAUACGUAGGGUCCGAGCGUUGUCCGGAGUUACUGGGCGUAAAGAGCUCGUAGGUGGUUUGUCGCGUUGUUCGUGAAAACUCACAGCUUAACUGUGGGCGUGCGGGCGAUACGGGCAGACUUGAGUACUGCAGGGGAGACUGGAAUUCCUGGUGUAGCGGUGGAAUGCGCAGAUAUCAGGAGGAACACCGGUGGCGAAGGCGGGUCUCUGGGCAGUAACUGACGCUGAGGAGCGAAAGCGUGGGGAGCGAACAGGAUUAGAUACCCUGGUAGUCC